UACGGAGGGUGCAAGCGUUGUUCGGAAUCAUUGGGCGUAAAGCGCGUGUAGGCGGCUUGGCAAGUCGGUUGUGAAAUCCCGGGGCCCAACCCCGGAACUGCAUUCGAAACUGCCUCGCUAGAGUCCCGGAGAGGAAGGCGGAAUUCCCGGUGUAGAGGUGAAAUUCGUAGAUAUCGGGAGGAACACCAGCGGCGAAGGCGGCCUUCUGGACGGUGACUGACGCUGAGACGCGAAAGCGUGGGGAGAAAACAGG
rnacentral:rRNA from 1 species